GACGAAGGGGCUAGCGUUGUUCGGAAUUACUGGGCGUAAAGCGAGUGUAGGUGGUUGUCCAAGUUGGAUGUGAAAGCCUUGAGCUCAACUCAAGAAAUGCAUUCAGGACUGGGCGGCUAGAGGACCGGAGAGGAUAGUGGAAUUCCCAGUGUAGUGGUGAAAUACGUAGAGAUUGGGAAGAACACCAGUGGCGAAGGCGGCUAUCUGGACGGUUUCUGACACUAAGACUCGAAAGCG
rnacentral:rRNA from 1 species